rnacentral:rRNA from 1 species
GAUGAACGCUGGCGGCGUGCCUAAUACAUGCAAGUCGAGCGAACAGACGAGGAGCUUGCUCCUCUGACGUUAGCGGCGGACGGGUGAGUAACACGUGUAUAACCUACCUAUAAGACUGGGAUAACUUCGGGAAACCGGAGCUAAUACCGGAUAAUAUAUUGAACCGCAUGGUUCAAUAGUGAAAUACGGUUUUUCUGUCACUUAUAGAUGGAUCCGCGCCUCAUUAGCUAGUUGGUAAGGUAACGGCUUACCAAGGCAACGAUGCGUAGCCGACCUGAGAGAGUGAUCGGCCACCCGGGAGGUGAGACACGGUCCAGACUCCUACGGGAGGCAGCAGUAGGGAAUCGUCCGCAGUGGGCGAGAGCCUGACGGAGCAACGCGGAGUGAGAGAUGAAGGUGUUGGGAUCGUAAAACUCUGUUAUUAGGGAAGAACAACUGUGUAAGUAACUAUGCACGUAUUGACGGUAACUAAUAAGAAAGCCCCGGCUAACUACGUG